ensembl:lncRNA
CCUCAACCCGAAAAGGCCCCACAAGCUCAUCUUUGAUGAUACCAGCCCAAACCAGUACUCCACCUCCACCUUGCUGGCACUGAGCUCCAGUCCGACUCAGACGCCAGCAAGGUGGAGGUGGAGUACUGGUUUGGGCUGGUAUCAUCAAAGAUGAGCUUGUGGGGCCUUUUCGGGUGGAGGUGGAGUACUGAUUUGGGCUGGUAUCAUCAAAGAUGAGCUUGUGGGGCCUUUUCGGGUUGAGGAUGGAGUCAAGCUCAACUCCCAGUCCUACUGCCAGUUUCUGGAAGACACCUUCUUCAAGCAGUGGUAUAGGAAGAAA